CUUCAGAUUAUUGAAAUUUCCGCAAACAUGAAAAAAAUACGAAUUGAAUGAUCAAAUGCUUCAUGGCUCUUUCUUCUCUCUCUUUGUGAGUUAGAAGCAUUUCUGAAAUUGAUAAUCAGAAAAGGAAAAUAGAUUAAUCAAAAUGCCAAAAUUCUCUUGCGAUUUUCGAUGCCUUCUUAUUCCUGCCGCAUUAGCAUUCAUCUAUAUCCAGAUGCGGCUUUUCGCUACACAGUCAGAGUAUGCGGAUCGCCUCGCUGCCGCCGUUGAAUCGGAGAACCAUUGUACAAGUCAACUGCGAUUGCUAAUUGAUCAAAUAAGCAUGCAACAGGGCAGAAUUGUGGCUCUAGAAGAAGAAAAGAAGCGUCAAGGUGAAGAAUGUAGACAAUUGAAGGCUGUUAUUGAAGAUCUUGAAAGAAAAGGCCUCCAAAGAGUGGUAGACAAGGUACCGGUGGCAGCAGUUGUGAUUAUGGCAUGUAAUCGUGCUGAUUAUUUAGAAAGGACUAUUAAGUCUGUGUUGAAGUACCAAAGUUCUAUUGCUUCAAAAUAUCCACUUUUUGUAUCCCAGGAUGGAUCUAACCCAGAUGUUAGAAGCAAGGCUAUGAGUUAUGAUCAAGUAAUUUACAUGCAGCACUUGAAUUCUGAACUGGUGCACACAGAAAGGCCUGGAGAGUUGAUUGCAUACUACAAGAUUGCCAGGCAUUACAAAUGGGCAUUGGAUCAAUUGUUCUACAAGCAUAACUUCAAUCGAGUGAUCAUACUUGAAGAUGAUAUGGAGAUUGCCCCUGAUUUUUUUGAUUACUUUGAGGCUGCAGCAGCUCUUCUUGACAAAGACAAGUCCAUUAUGGCUGUUUCCUCAUGGAAUGACAAUGGGCAAAAGCAAUUUGUGUAUGAUCCUUAUACACUUUAUCGGUCAGAUUUCUUUCCUGGAUUGGGAUGGAUGCUUACUAAAUCAACAUGGGAUGAACUAUCCCCUAAAUGGCCAAAAGCUUACUGGGAUGACUGGUUGAGGUUGGAAGAGAAUCGCAAAGGUCGACAAUUUGUUCGUCCAGAAGUGUGCAGGACAUACAACUUCGGUGAGCAUGGUUCUAGUUUGGGGCAAUUUUUCAAACAAUAUCUAGAGAAUAUCAAGUUGAAUGAUGCCCAGGUUGACUGGAAAACAAUGAAUUUGAGCUACCUGAUGGAGUACAACUAUCCAAAAUACUUUGCCAACAUUUUGAGAAACGCUAAAGCUGUCCACGGAAAUGAUGCUGUUCUUAAAGCGUAUAAUACAGAAGGUGAUGUUCAUAUUCAGUACAAAGACCAAUCCGACUUUGAACGCAUUGCACGCCAGUUUGGUAUUUUUGAAGAAUGGAAGGACGGAGUACCAAGGACAGCAUACAAGGGAAUAGUUGUUUUCCGAUAUCAAACGCAAAGACGCAUUUUCCUAGUUGGUCCUGAUUCUUUGAGGCAGCUUGGGGUUGACGAUGCUUGAUGCUAAAUGGAGGUACAAAUGUUUUCACUGCGUUGCGUUCUUUUGUUAAGAAUCAUCUGUGUCUGUCUCUCUUUUCUAAUUGGCAUUGGCACCAAAUGAUGAUGUAAUCCUUUUAUCAAUGCGUGUUAUGCUACGCCCAAAGGAGUGCGAAGGACUGAAAUGGAAAGAAAUAACCACAGGAGGAUGAAACAAUGAAAAAAUUGAACUGUGGGUUAUUUGAUAUUGUUAUGAAUGUGUAGUUUGCGAUAUUAUUUCAUGAAACAAUUUGGUACAAAUACAUACAAUAAGUUUCUAACAUAUCAGAAACACCAUAUUUUGCUUUUUACUCAUUUUCAGA